rnacentral:rRNA from 1 species
AACGAACGCUGGCGGCGUGCCUAAGCCAUGCAAGUCGAACGGGUUGUCGCAAGACAAUCAGUGGCGAACUGGUGAGUAAUACGUGGGUAAUCUGCCCGAGAGUGGGGAAUAGCCCUUCCAACGAGGGGGUAACACCGCAUAUUAUCGCGAAUCCGCAUGGAUUUGCGAUGAAAACAGGGGAUCGCAAGACCUUGUGCUCUCGGAUGAACCCGCGCCCCAUUAGCUAGUUGGUGAGGUAAAGGCCCACCAAGGCGAUGAUGGGUAGCCGGCCUGAGAGGGUGUACGGCCACACUGGGACUGAGAUACGGCCCAGACUCCUACGGGAGGCAGCAGCUAAGAAUAUUCCGCAAAUGGACGAAAGUCUGACGGAGCGACGCCGCGUGGAUGAAGAAGGCCGAAAGGUUGUAAAGUUCUUUUGCUAGGGGAGAAUAAGUGAGGGAGGGAAUGCCCUCAUGAUGACAAGGACUAGCGAAUAAGCCCCGGCCAACUACGUGCCAGCAGCCG